rnacentral:rRNA from 1 species
UACAGAGGGUGCAAGCGUUGCUCGGAAUCAUUGGGCGUAAAGGGUUGGUAGGUGGUCUCAUUUGUCAGGGGUGAAAUCCUUGGGCUUAACUCAAGAAGUGCCCUUGAAACGGUGAGACUGGAGUCUUUGGAGAGGGUCGCGGAAUUCCCGGUGUAGAGGUGAAAUUCGUAGAUAUCGGGAGGAACACCGGUGGCGAAGGCGGCGACCUGGUUCGAUACUGACACUGAGGUGCGAAAGCGUGGGGAGCAAACAGG